AUAUCAAUAAGCGGAGGAAAAGAAACCAACAGGGAUUGCCUUAGUAACGGCGAGUGAAGCGGCAAAAGCUCAAAUUUGAAAUCUGCCACCAGGCCGAAUUGUAAUUUGUAGAGGAACGUUCGGUGACGCCUAAGUCCAAGUCUUCUGGAAGGAAGCGCCAAUGAGGGUGAGAGCCCCGUAGGAUGAUCGGCUGAGCCAUGUGUACGUCCUUCGAAGAGUCGAGUUGUUUGGGAAUGCAGCUCUAAACGGGUGGUAAAUUCCAUCUAAAGCUAAAUAUUGGCCAGAGACCGAUAGCGCACAAGUA
rnacentral:rRNA from 1 species